GCGGGGCAUGGUGGCGCAUGCCUGUAAUCCCAGUUACUCGGGAGGCUGAGGCAGGAGGAUUACUUGAAUCCGGGAGGUGGAGGCUGCAGUGAGGUGAGAUCUCACCACUGCACUCCAGCCUGGUCAACACAGUGAGAUUCCGCCUCAA
rnacentral:sRNA from 13 species